rnacentral:rRNA from 1 species
AUGGCGGUGCGCGCGAGUGUGCUCGUGGUGGGCAUCCUCUGCCUGCUAGCAUUGUCGGCGUCGGCGUCGGCGCAAUACCCGUCGUCCCCAAGCUCCCCGGACUCGUAUCCAUCCCCUGGCUCAUACCCAUCUCCCGGCUCCCCGGACGGCAACGAGGGGGAGGGGGAGGCCGUCCCUCCCAGGAACGUCACCUGCAAGGACACCGACGGGAAGCGGCCGGGUUGCACGAGCACCUGCCCCGACCGCUGCCCACAGCAGUGCAUCGUCCUCUGCCCCGACUGCAAGACAUUCUGCCACGAUGAGGUAAAGCCGGCGAAGCCCGUGCCUCCACCUGCCAUGUUCGUGUUCGGAGACGGGGUGUUGGACGUCGGAAACAACAGAUACUUGCCCAAGGUCGAAACGGAGGAGGGGUACCCCCCUCAAGUCUCUCAAUCUAGCAGCGGCAGGUUCAGCAACGGAGCCAACUUGGCUGACACCGUUGCAACAUCAAUCGGCUUCCAGCAGAGCCCUCCAGCUUACAUGUCGUUGAACGGUGGGCUCAACAUGUGGGGCGCCAACUACGCCUCGGCAGGUUCCGGUAUCAAAAUCUCCACUAACGGAGAACGUUCCAUCUCGUUGCCGAAGCAGCUUGAGCACUUCAAGGUGACGAGGUCCCAGAUGGAGGCCAAGCUGGGUGGCGACGCGAAAUUGCGUGAGCUCCUCUCCAAGUCUUUCUUCCUAAUUGGCACCGGUGGCCAGGACCUCGAUCCAAGAUGGAACGUCGAGUCUGGAUAUCCACGAUCACAGACCGAGCUCCAGGAGCUCAUCACUCUUUACGGGGAAGCCAUCUCGUCCCUUUAUGACAUGGGCGCCAGGAAGAUGGCCAUCGUAAACGUUGGCAUCAUCGGCUGCAAGCCACCUCCCUACAGGUAUGAGUGUGACCAGAGCCUGAAAAAGAACGCCACCGCGUUCGACGCGGCCCUGAAGCCCCUAAUGGCUGGCCUCGCGUCCAAGAAGUCGGGUCUCUCCUACUCCAUCGGCGACUUCUACGGCUUCACCACCGCCGUCUUUGCCAACCCAUCAAAUUAUGGGCUAGUGAAUACCCAGGACUCCUGCAGCGAGUGGAGCUACCCCGACUGGACGUACUGCUACAACCCCGAUGGUUACUGGUUCUGGGACCCGGAGUUCAUGACAGAUAGGGCCGCCAAGCUGACAGCUGCUGCGUUCUACUAUGGUCCACCCCAAUUUACAUUUCCAAUUACCUUUAAGGCUCUGCUGGCGAAAAAAUAA